AUGAGAAGUUCAGAAGUAAUUAGGGAAGUGCUGUUUGAGCUCAUCCAGUUAUUUUCAAUUUCUCUCUUCAGUUCGCACCGCAGCACAAAAGAUCGUCACGUAAAAAAAAAAAAUCGGACUGCUCAGAAAACUCAUUUUCUCUUAAAAAGAAAGGGACGGGGAAAAAAAGAAGCCAUCCGUUAUUUGGGCCGAGUUUGCUCUUUACUGAAGUGCAGUGCCAAACUUGACGUGAUCCCGAGAGGGGCUGCCCCUGCCCGCACCGCGCCUCUGCCUCCCCAGCCCGGGUUUCCUGCUGGCGCCCCAGGGCCACCGCCCAGCUCCGGCUCGUCGUCCAGCGUUCAGCUCACUCCUGGAAAAUUCGGGGCAGUCUACCUUUUUCUAAGGUACGAUUUUGUUGCGAUGAAGCACAGAGGUGUCAGAAGAAAAAAGACGGACCCCGGGUCUGUAUGCUCUCACCUCUUCGGAGGCGGAAUGCUUUGGCAGCAGAGACGUGGUUGAAAUUUGAGCAGAUUAUACGUUUGAGCUUGUGCAUAAAUGCGAAAAGACUGUCCUAAUGCUGGCUAUUUCUCCAUCAACAUCAACCAGGUGCUGCUGUUGCAAAAAUCUCACCUCUGACUGCUUGCUCUGUGCAUGUGUGCACGCACAGCGAUGCACAGACUUUGUUCUCUCUUCAUGUCUGAAAUUCAUCAACUACCCACCCCCGUUCCCAGCCCCACGUCCCCUACGUGAAAAAAAAAAAAAAAGUGAAUCCGUUCAGGCUUUGAAUAUUGUGUAAGAAGCCUUGUGUGUGUAUUUUUUUUAAUCUUCAAAUGAAUUAAAGACAACCUGACAAUGCUGUCAUCUGUCUUCAACGUCACAUCAAGGCAAGAAAUAAUGAUAACAGAGCAGCAGAAGGACGCCCACUGAAACCUGGAGGAUAUAUAUACACAUAUAUAUACACACAUAUAUAUGCCUUGAAACAGUAUGAAAGAGAACAAAAUUAGAUUACCGCUCUUAGGCUAUCACGGUAAAAACGUGUGGGAUUUUGCGUGCGUAUGUGUGUGAGUGGCUCAUCUUUCCUGCCUUAUUUUGUGAAGCGCGCGCUACUCGAUCCAAACCACUUCUGUGGGAUGGGACAAGAAGACGAGCAGGCACAUUCCUCGUUCCCAAACUACCACGACCAAAGGAAGCACCAAAAUAUCUCCCCCUCCCCCUCCACCGUUUCAGGUUCACGUUCCAGUUAAUAACAAACGUUACUGCUCUCCCGAGGCGCAGGCCAGAGCGGGCACGCUUUGCGCGGAGGCCCGGGCGGGCGCGUUACGCGCAGCUGCCCGGUGGGAAAGGGGCUGCUCCCGGGGGGAGGAAGAGCGAGGAGCGGCUCCCGGGGUGGAGGAAGAGCGAGGAGCGGCUCCCUUUGUCUGCGCGGGCCGCGGGCCGGUGCCGCUCCCGGCCGCCAGGCGGCGCUGCGGCCCCCGGCGGAGCGCAGGGCAGCGGCCGCAGCCGAGCCGGGCCGGGCCGGGCCCCCACGGGCCCCGCGUGCUCGGGCACCGGGAACCGCCCGCAGUCCCGGAGGGCAGCACGGCACCACAAACGGCCUGCCCAGAAAAAAACAGAUAGGCCGGAUCAAAAAAUAGAAAACCCGAAACACACACACACAAAAACUCCCCUCAAAAACAAAACUAAAAAUCAUGGUGGUUGGGUUUAGGUUUGGUUUUUUUGUUGUUGUUUUGUUGUUGUUUUUUUUUUUUUUUUAAUCGCGCUUGUAAUCUCAUUCGCUCUGAAGGGUAAAUAAAUUGCAGUUGUAUGAAAAACA
rnacentral:lncRNA from 1 species